rnacentral:rRNA from 1 species
CUGGACCUCGGAUCAGGCCAGGCUACCCGCUGAAUUUAAGCAUAUUAAUAAGCGGAGGAAAAGAAACUAACAAGGAUUCCCCCAGUAACGGCGAGCGAAGCGGGAAUAGCUCAAAUUUGAAAUCUCCGGUGCCUGCACCGGCGAAUUGUAGUCUGUAGGGCCAGUUUCGCCUGAGACAGUGUCCCCAAAGUCGUCCUGGAAAGGCGAGCCGGAGAGGGUGAGAGCCCCGUACGCGGGGGCGCUGUCGAGGGUAAGAUCUGUGCCCGAAGAGUCGGGUUGUUUGGGAUUGCAGCCCAAAAUGGGUGGUAAACUCCAUCUAAAGCUAAAUACCGGCACGAGACCGAUAGCG